GAUGAACGCUGGCGGCGUGCCUAAUACAUGCAAGUCGAGCGAACAGACGAGGAGCUUGCUCCUCUGACGUUAGCGGCGGACGGGUGAGUAACACGUGGAUAACCUACCUAUAAGACUGGGAUAACUUCGGGAAACCGGAGCUAAUACCGGAUAAUAUAUUGAACCGCAUGGUUCAAUAGUGAAAGACGGUUUUGCUGUCACUUAUAGAUGGAUCCGCGCCGCAUUAGCUGGUUGGUAAGGUAACGGCUUACCAAGGCGACGAUGCGUAGCCGACCUGAGAGGGUGAUCGGCCACACUGGAACUGAGACACGGUCCAGACUCCUACGGGAGGCAGCAGUAGGGAAUCUUCCGCAAUGGGCGAAAGCCUGACGGAGCAACGCCGCGUGAGUGAUGAAGGUCUUCGGAUCGUAAAACUCUGUUAUUAGGGAAGAACAAAUGUGUAAGUAACUAUGCACGUCUUGACGGUACCUAAUCAGAAAGCCACGGCUAACUACGUG
rnacentral:rRNA from 1 species